GGUUAAGCGACUAAGCGUACACGGUGGAUGCCCUGGCAGUCAGAGGCGAUGAAGGACGUGCUAAUCUGCGAAAAGCGCCGGCGAGGUGAUAUGAACCCUUGACCCGGCGAUGUCCGAAUGGGGAAACCCAGUGUGUUCCGACACACUAUCGUUAACUGAAUACAUAGGUUAACGAGGCGAACCGGGGGAACUGAAACAUCUAAGUACCCCGAGGAAAAGAAAUCAACCGAGAUUCCCCCAGUAGCGGCGAGCGAACGGGGAGCAGCCCGGAGUCUGAAUCAGCUUGUGUGUUAGUGGAACGGUCUGGAAAGUCCGACGGUACAGGGUGAUAGUCCCGUACACGAAAAUGCACAGGUUGUGAACUCGAAGAGUAGGGCGGGACACGUGGUAUCCUGUCUGAAUAUGGGGGGACCAUCCUCCAAGGCUAAAUACUCCUGACUGACCGAUAGUGAACCAGUACCGUGAGGGAAAGGCGAAAAGAACCCCGGCGAGGGGAGUGAAAAAGAACCUGAAACCGUGUACGUACAAGCAGUGGGAGCCUCUUUAUGGGGUGACUGCGUACCUUUUGUAUAAUGGGUCAGCGACUUAUAUUCUGUAGCAAGGUUAACCGUAUAGGGGAGCCGAAGGGAAACCGAGUCUUAACUGGGCGUUAAGUUGCAGGGUAUAGACCCGAAACCCGGUGAUCUAGCCAUGGGCAGGUUGAAGGUUGGGUAACACUAACUGGAGGACCGAACCGACUAAUGUUGAAAAAUUAGCGGAUGACCUGUGGCUGGGGGUGAAAGGCCAAUCAAACCGGGAGAUAGCUGGUUCUCCCCGAAAGCUAUUUAGGUAGCGCCUCGUGAACUCAUC
rnacentral:rRNA from 1 species